rnacentral:rRNA from 1 species
UACGGAGGGAGCUAGCGUUGUUCGGAAUCACUAGGCGUAAAGCGCACGUAGGCGGAUGUGUCAGUCAGGGGUGAAAUCCCGGAGCUCAACUUCGGAACUGCCCUUGAUACAGCACGUCUUGAGUCCGAUAGAGGUGGGUGGAAUUCCUAGUGUAGAGGUGAAAUUCGUAGAUAUUAGGAAGAACACCGGUGGCGAAGGCGGCCCACUGGAUCGGUACUGACGCUGAGGUGCGAAAGCGUGGGGAGCAAACAGG